rnacentral:misc_RNA from 1 species
CGCACAUUGCGCCCUUUGGUAUUCCGAGGGGCAUGCCUGUUCGAGCGUCAUUUCAACCAUCAAGCCCAGCUUGGUAUUGGACCCGGUCUCAGGGCCUGUCCGUAACUAGUCGGCGGUACUGUGCAGCCUCAAGCGUAACAGAAAUCUCGCUUCCGGGUUAUCGUACGGCGUCUGCCAAAAAAACCAUAACUGAAGUUUGACCUCGGAUCAGGUAGGGAUACCCGCUGAACUUAA